rnacentral:misc_RNA from 1 species
CCAGCGGAGGCUUGCAAUCGCG